rnacentral:rRNA from 1 species
GAUGAACGCUGGCGGCGUGCCUAACACAUGCAAGUCGAACGAUGAAGUCCAGCUUGCUGGGUGGAUUAGUGGCGAACGGGUGAGUAACACGUGAGUAACCUGCCUUUCACUCUGGGAUAAGUCUGGGAAACUGGGUCUAAUUCUGGAUAUGACUUCUCAUCGCAUGGGGGGGGGUGGAAAGAUUUGUUGGUCUUGGAUGGAUUCGCGGCUUAUCAGCUUGGUGGUGAGGUAUUGGCUCACCAAGGCGACGACGCGUAGCCGGCCUGGGAGGGGGACCGGCCACACUGCGACUGAAACGCGGCCCGGACCCGAACGCUACGCAGCGGUGCGGAAGAUUGCACUAGGGACGCAAGCCUGGUGCAGCCAAGCCGCGUGGCGGAAGACGUGCUUCGGGUUGUAAACCACAUUCAGUAGGGACGAGGCGAGAGUGACGGUACCUGCAGAAGAAGCGCCGGCUAACUACGUG